UUCUACAAUCAGCUUCUUUUUAAGGAUUCUGAUAAAAGUCCAUCAUUUGGAUAAGCACUAAAUGUCAGCAAAGAGAUACAAAAAUAGGAUUUUGUAACCUGGAUCUGGUGGUCUUUCCCUGGCUCACCCUGCUAUUUGAAGAAGCCUGCUGAAAACUUACAACUGAUCGAAAAUGCUGGAAAGAAAAGAGAGACAUAACAUUAUUGCAGUGAAUAGCACAGUCUUUGACAGAACUGGGACUAUUAUUUUAUAUCUUCCUGAGGAUGUCACCGCAGGAAAUCUCUGUGCCUCCAGUGCAGUCAAUUCUAUAUUUGCAGAUUGAGAUGUGUUUGAACCAGGAACUAAGGAACUAAGAGUCCAUAUUUGAAGAUUUUAUACCAAGACAACUUAAGAACCACUUUUUAUCCUGAGAGGUCUUUGGUUACAGUUGGACCUAGAUUCAGUGUCUGAAAAAAAAAUUGAGCUUGGAGGAAAAGCUAUGUCUGGUGUUGAGGGUUGAUGGUAAUUAGUUUUAACUCAUGGAUUCUAAAGAAAACGGUGCUGAGAAAGUCAUUGGUCAGUUAUGACUAGCAUCUUUGCCAUCUAUCGUUGGAUGUACAUUUUGACUUCAGUUUCCUUAUGGAAUACAAUUAAAAUGCUAUUUUUAUCCUUUUUAUAUAAUUGAAGGGAUUUGGCUUAUUUUCAGCAACAUUUUAAUUGCAUUUCUUGCAAGGCAUAUAUAAAAUGAGUUGGGGAAAAGUAAUGUUAUCUCUUAUUUACUUGGUAAACUUACACUUUGGGAUAAUCUCAAUUUGAAAAUGUUAGAUAACUUUUGUUAAAGGCUUGAGCAAAUGAAGGUAUUAAUGCUGUGGAUCAGCAUCUUGCUAAUCCAGUCUUCACAUUAUUUUCAUUAUUGUAAAAGGAAUCCAUAUUGCCCCAAAAAGUAAAUGGCAGUGGUACAAUAAAUUUAAAUAAUUCUGAUUUCAUUAUUUGAUCCAGAUGAAUUAUCUGCAUCUAAAACCCAUGGAGUAUUGUUUAUGUAAUAAUCUGUUUUAAUAAUUUUACAUCUACAUUACAAUUAGUAAAUAGCUAAAGAGCAUUAGUAAAGUAGAUAUUAAAUAUUUGCACAAA